rnacentral:misc_RNA from 1 species
GAUGAAGAACGUAGCGAAAUGCGAUAAGUAAUGUGAAUUGCAGAAUUCAGUGAAUCAUCGAAUCUUUGAACGCACAUUGCGCCCGGCAGUACUCUGCCGGGCAUGCCUGUUCGAGCGUCAUUUCAACCCUCAAGCCCUGCUUGGUGUUGGGGUCCCACGGCCGCCGUGGGCCCUGAAAGGAAGUGGCGGGCUCGCUACAACUCCGAGCGUAGUAAUUCAUUAUCUCGCUUAGGGCGUUGGGCGGCGCUCCUGCCGUUAAAGAACCAUCUUUAACUCAAGGUUGACCUCGGAUCAGGUAGGAAUACCCGCUGAACUUAAGCAUAUCAAUAAGCGGAGGAA